GAUGAACGCUAGCGGCAGGCUUAACACAUGCAAGUCGAGGGGCAGCAUGAGACGGAGAUUCGUCGAAGUCUUGAUGGCGACCGGCGCAAGGGUGCGUAACGCGUGAGCAACUUGCCCGUUUCAGGGGCAUAACCGGUGGAAACGCCGACUAAUUCCCCAUAGUAUCAUCGAGAGGCAUCUUUUGAUGAUUAAAGAAUUUCGGAAACGGAUAGGCUCGCGUGACAUUAGCUAGAUGGCGGGGUAACGGCCCACCAUGGCGACGAUGUCUAGGGGUUCUGAGAGGAAGGUCCCCCCACACUGGAACUGAGACACGGUCCAGACUCCUACGGGAGGCAGCAGUGAGGAAUAUUGGUCAAUGGUCUGACGACUGAACCAGCCAUGCCGCGUGAAGGUCACGGCCCUAUGGGUCUUAAACUUCUUUUGCAAGGGAGCAAUAAGGUCUACGUGUAGAUCGAUGAGAGUACCUUGCGAAUAAGCAUCGGCUAACUCCG
rnacentral:rRNA from 1 species